UGUGCAAGUCGGUCUGUCGCCGUUCUUUCUCGAUUCUUUCGGGAUUGAAAGGAGGAAAGUCCGGGCAACAUAGAGCGCCAUACUUCCUAACGGGAAGGGGACUGAUUGGUGACGAUCAGUUUACAGAUAGUGCCACAGAAAAUAUACCGUCUCGAUAGCUAUCGGGAUAAGGGUGAAAAGGUGGAGUAAGAGCCCACCGCCUCCGUGGUGACAUUGAGGGCAGGGUAAACCUUAUGGGUUGAAAGAUCAAAUAGGCCUCGGGCAAAGAGCUGCUCGUUCGAUUUCUGUUUCGGCAGAAUUCCGGGGUGGGUAGAUCGAUAGACCUUGACUGUGAAGUCAGGGCUAGAUAAAUGACAGACCAUCUCUCCCAUUUGGGAUGAAGAUGACAGAACCCGGCUUACAGACUUGCACAUUUC
rnacentral:RNase_P_RNA from 1 species